rnacentral:rRNA from 1 species
ACGGCGAAGUGAAGCCGGCCAACCAGCCUUCAAAUUUUGAAAUCUGGCCUCCGGGCCCGAGUUGUAAUUUUGCAGAGGAUGCUUUUGGCGAGGCGCCUUCCGAGUUCCCUGGAACGGGACGCCAUAGAGGGUGAGAGCCCCGUCUGGUUGGAUGCCGAGCCUCUGUAAAGCUCCUUCGACGAGUCGAGUAGUUUGGGAAUGCUGCUCUAAAUGGGAGGUAUAUGUCUUCUAAAGCUAAAUAUUGGCCAGAGACCGAUAGCGCACAAGUAGAGUGAUCGAAAGAUGAAAAGCACUUUGAAAAGAGGGUUAAACAGUACGUGAAAUUGUUGAAAGGGAAGCGCUUGUGACCAGACUUGGGCCCGGCGGAUCACCCAGCGUUCUCGCUGGUGCACUCCGGCGGGCCCAGGCCAGCAUCAGCUCGUCCCGGGGGACAAAGGCUCUGGGAAUGUGGCUCCUCCGGGAGUGUUAUAGCCCUCUGCGCAAUGCCCUGGGGCGGGCUGAGGACCGCGCAU